GGGUCAGUAGGUUGGUCGUGCCACCGGUACGUACUGGUCUCACUGAUUCCUCCUUCCUGAAGAACCGUAAUGCCAUUAAUGAGGUGUUGCGGGGAAACAGGACUGUUACUUUGAAAAAAUUAGAGUGUUUAAAGCAAGCUAACGCUUGAAUACAUUAGCAUGGAAUAAUGAAAUAGGACGAUCGAUCCUAUUUUGUUGGUUUCUAGGAUUGACGUA
rnacentral:rRNA from 1 species